GGAUGUGAGGGCGAUCUGGCUGUGACAUCUGUCACCCCAUUGAUCGCCAGGGUUGAUUCGGCUGAUCUGGCUGGCUAGGCAGGUGUCCCCUUCCUCCCUCACCGCUCCAUGUGCGUCCCUUCUGAAGCUGCGCGCUCGGUGAAAGAGGACUGUCUUCCCUGAAUAGAGAAGGACAUGGAGCGGGUGAGGGAGGGUCUUUGGUCGAGGGUAUACAAGUAGCUGCUCUCCCCUGCUAGAACCUCCAAACAAGCUCUCAAAAAAGCAGAUCUUUGUAGAGCUGUGAUUUUUUUAUAUUUGAAUCAGAGCAAUUUCCAAACAUGGUGUAAUAU
rfam:Erinaceus europaeus unplaced genomic scaffold scaffold00362, whole genome shotgun sequence